rnacentral:rRNA from 1 species
UGGGGAAUUUUGGACAAUGGGCGAAAGCCUGAUCCAGCAAUGCCGCGUGUGUGAAGAAGGCCUUCGGGUUGUAAAGCACUUUUGUCCGGAAAGAAAACGCCGUGGUUAAUACCCGUGGCGGAUGACGGUACCGGAAGAAUAAGCACCGGCUAACUACGUGCCAGCAGCCGCGGUAAUACGUAGGGUGCAAGCGUUAAUCGGAAUUACUGGGCGUAAAGCGUGCGCAGGCGGUCCGCUAAGACAGAUGUGAAAUCCCCGGGCUUAACCUGGGAACUGCAUUUGUGACUUGCGGGCUAGAGUAUGGCAGAGGGGGGUAGAAUUCCACGUGUAGCAGUGAAAUGCGUAGAGAUGUGGAGGAAUACCGAUGGCGAAGGCAGCCCCCUGGGCCAAUACUGACGCUCAUGCACGAAAGCGUGGGGAGCAAACAGG